rnacentral:rRNA from 1 species
GAUUUACAUUUGAGUGAGUGGCGAACUGGUGAGUAACACGUGGGAAACCUGCCCAGAAGCGGGGGAUAACACCUGGAAACAGAUGCUAAUACCGCAUAACAACUUGGACCGCAUGGUCCGAGCUUGAAAGAUGGCUUCGGCUAUCACUUUUGGAUGGUCCCGCGGCGUAUUAGCUAGAUGGUGGGGUAACGGCUCACCAUGGCAAUGAUACGUAGCCGACCUGAGAGGGUAAUCGGCCACAUUGGGACUGAGACACGGCCCAAACUCCUACGGGAGGCAGCAGUAGGGAAUCUUCCACAAUGGACGAAAGUCUGAUGGAGCAACGCCGCGUGAGUGAAGAAGGGUUUCGGCUCGUAAAACUCUGUUGUUAAAGAAGAACAUAUCUGAGAGUAACUGUUCAGGUAUUGACGGUAUUUAACCAGAAAGCCACGGCUAACUACGUGCCAGCAGCCGCGGUAAUACGUAGGUGGCAAGCGUUGUCCGGAUUUAUUGGGCGUAAAGCGAGCGCAGGCGGUUUUUUAAGUCUGAUGUGAAAGCCUUCGGCUCAACCGAAGAAGUGCAUCGGAAACUGGGAAACUUGAGUGCAGAAGAGGACAGUGGAACUCCAUGUGUAGCGGUGAAAUGCGUAGAUAUAUGGAAGAACACCAGUGGCGAAGGCGGCUGUCUGGUCUGUAACUGACGCUGAGGCUCGAAAGUAUGGGUAGCAAACAGGAUUAGAUACCCUGGUAGUCCAUACCGUAAACGAUGAAUGCUAAGUGUUGGAGGGUUUCCGCCCUUCAGUGCUGCAGCUAACGCAUUAAGCAUUCCGCCUGGGGAGUACGGCCGCAAGGCUGAAACUCAAAGGAAUUGACGGGGGCCCGCACAAGCGGUGGAGCAUGUGGUUUAAUUCGAAGCUACGCGAAGAACCUUACCAGGUCUUGACAUACUAUGCAAAUCUAAGAGAUUAGACGUUCCCUUCGGGGA